UCUGUUGCCUGGCAACCGGAAACGGGCCGGGACGGCAUUGGCUCGUGCUGGGGCGUGGGCGGAGCUUGCGCAGCGCCGGGAGCGCGGAGCGGGUCUUCCAGCCCGGGAGGAGGAGCUUGUGCGUGUCCUGGGCGCAUGCGUGGGGCGCGGCCGACCCCCUCCCCUCGGAGGGGCGAUCCGGGCGGAGCCCGGGGGCGGGGCCGGCAGUUGUCCGUUGCGGGGCGGGGCCGCCGUCGGGGGCGUGGCGCGGGAGGCGCCGUUGGUUGGCGGGCGGCGGGCGGGGGCGGGCCAUGGCCCUGCUACUGUGCCUGGGCCUGACUGCGGCGCUGGCCCGCGGCUGCCUGCACUGCCACAGCAACUUCUCGGAGAAGUUCUCCUUCUACCGCCAUCACGUGAACCUCAAGUCCUGGUGGGUGGGCGACAUCCCCGUGUCGGGCUCGCUGCUCACCGACUGGGGCCAGGACACGAUGAAGGAGCUGCACCUGGCCAUCCCCGCGGAGAUCACCCGGGAGAAGCUGAACCAGGUGGCGAACGCCGUGUACCAGAAGAUGGAUCAGCUGUACCAGGGGAAGAUGUAUUUCCCCGGGUAUUUUCCCAAUGAGCUGCGAGCCAUCUUCCGGGAGCAGGUGCACCUCAUCCAGAAUGCCAUCAUCGAAAGCCGCAUUGACUGUCAGCGUCACUGUGGCAUCUUCCAGUAUCAGACCAUCUCCUGCACCAACUGCACCGACUCGCACGUCAUCUGCUUUGGCUACAACUGCGAGUCGUCGGUACAGUGGGAAACAGCGGUGCAGGGCCUCCUCCUAUACAUAAACAAGUGGCACAAGUACGUGAGUUUUAUUAGUGUGCUUUAAGCCCUCGUGGAGAGGACACGGACACAAGGUAAGCCACCCCUCACCCCCAAUCCCCGCCCUGUGCUCUCCAAAGCCCUGGCCAGGCCUUCUGAAAGGGAGGUGGGGACAGACCAGGAGGGGUUGGACAGGGCAGACACAGCUGGCCGGGGUUCCUGGCACCUGGGACAAGCCAGAUGUCACCUCUGCAACCACACCCAAGCGAUCGCUUCAUGAAUAAACAUCAGCUCUCCUCCUCCCGCGGACGCACAGAACCACUCCGGCCUUUCUGAUAUCACCAAGCUUCACGUGUCUUGAGCCCCCACACCUGGCCAACCUGACUCUAGAAAAUGCUUCCGAGUGCCUGACACAGCACUGAUGGGCACCGGCUUCGCCAGACCGGCCCCAGCCUGGAGGCGGAGCCAGGACUUGGCUGGACUGUCCCAGCCUGACCCCCUGGAGCAGCUGCUGCCGCCUUCCUCCUCUCCUGUCCGAGCCUGGGGCCCCCGGGAGGGGAGUGUGGCUUUGCCGGGCGGGGUCCCUGAGCUAUUAGAUGCAAUGAUUAAACGUCCCUGACAUUUCUCA